GUUCCCGUGGUGUAGCAGAAGCAUGGCGCUGUGCGAAGGCGUCGGCCUGGGUGCAAAUCCCGGCGGGAACACCA
rnacentral:tRNA from 1 species